rnacentral:rRNA from 1 species
GAUGAACGCUGGCGGCGUGCCUAAUACAUGCAAGUCGAGCGAACAGAUGAGGCGCUUGCUCCACUGACGUUACCAGCGGACGGGUGAGUAACACGUGGAUAACCUACCUAUAAGACUGGGAUAACUUCGGGAAACCGGAGCUAAUACCGGAUAAUAUAUUGAACCGCAUGGUUCAAUAGUGAAAGCGGGUUUUGCUGUCACUUCUGCAUGGCUCCGCGCGGGAUUAGCUAGUUGGUAAGUUAACGGCUUACUAAGGCCACGAUGCGUAGCCGACCUGAGAGGGUGAUGGCCGACACUGGAGCUGAGACACGGUCCAGACUCCUACGGAAGGCCGCAGUAGGGAAUCUUGCGCAAUGGGCGGAAGCCUGACGGAGCAGCGCCGGGUGAGUGAUGAAGGUCUUCGGAUCGUAAAACGCUGUUAGUAGGGAAGAACAAAUGUGUAAGUAACGAUGCACGUCUUGACGGUACCUAAUCAGAAAGCCACGGCUAACUACGUG